UACAGAGGGUGCAAGCGUUGUUCGGAAUUAUUGGGCGUAAAGGGCGCGUAGGCGGUGCUGUAAGUCUGUGGUGAAAUCUCUGGGCUCAACUCAGAGUCUGCCAUAGAAACUGCAGUGCUGGAGUGUGGGAGAGGUGAGUGGAAUUCCCGGUGUAGCGGUGAAAUGCGUAGAGUAUCGGGAGGAACACCUGUGGCGAAAGCGGCUCACUGGACCACAACUGACGCUGAGGCGCGAAAGCUAGGGGAGCAAACAGG
rnacentral:rRNA from 1 species